rnacentral:rRNA from 1 species
AGUGAACGCUGGCGGCAGGCCUAACACAUGCAAGUCGAACGGCAGCACAGUACGAGUUUGCUCUUCCCGGUCGCGUGUCGGGCGCGGGUGAGAUAUCCAUCGGACUCUACUAUUUCGGGGGGGAUCACGUAGGGACGCUAACUAUUAUCCCGUAUACUACCAACAGCAAAAAGCAGGGGCUCUGGGCCUCUUGCCCGCUUAUAUGCGCAGAUGUGGGAUUAGCUAGUUGGUGGGGUAAAGGCCCACCAAGGCGACGAUCCGUAGCUGGUCUGAGAGGAUGAUCAGCCACACUGGAACUGAGACACGGUCCAGACUCCUACGGGAGGCAGCAGUGGGGAAUAUUGGACAAUGGGCGCAAGCCUGAUCCAGCCAUGCCGCGUGUGUGAAGAAGGCCUUCGGGUUGUAAAGCACUUUCGUCGGGGAGGAAGAGAGGAAAGUUAAUACCCCUCCGUAUUGACGUUACCCGAAGAAGAAGCACCGGCUAACUCCGUG